UACGUAGGAUGCAAGCGUUGUCCGGAAUUAUUGGGCGUAAGAGCGCGCAGGCGGUUUGCCAAGUCAGAUGUGAAAGAGGCCGGCUUAACCGGCAAGGGUCAUUUGAAACUGACAGACUAGAGUGCAGCAGAGGAUAGCGGAAUUCCCGGUGUAGUGGUGAAAUGCGUAGAGAUCCGGAGGAACACCAAAGGCGAAGGCAGUGUCCUGGGGAGUACCUGACGCUCAGGUGCGAAAGCCAGGGGAGCGAACGGG
rnacentral:rRNA from 1 species